GCCACAUGAUGUUUUCGUUUUGAGGCGUGAGCGCUUGGCGCGCUGAUGACCUUAAUCUAUCACCCUGGACUGAUGGCU
ensembl:snoRNA SNORD83 Small nucleolar RNA SNORD83